GGUUAGUGGAUUCGGGGUGAAGGUUAACGAGGAGGAUGUGAUAAGAAAACGAACGAUUCGAUCGAAUCCGGAUCCCCCCCUUGGAAACAGUCAGCCACUUACUGCCAAAUGCAGUUGGCAACGGCAACGGCAACGGCAACGGAGUGGCAAAGCAGACGAAAGCGGAACGGAACGAAUCGGAUUCCCCUCUUAUCAUCGUUAUCAGAGGGCAGCGUAGUCGAAUGGUCAAUGGUCUGCUUGGACAGUAAUAUCGAUACUGCGCGACUGGCGGACGGUCGAGUGCACACGCGCCCGGCCAUACUACGGAGCGGCACGAUCAGGCCACUCAUUUUCCUACUCCCCCCCACUUCACCACCCAGCAGGUAUCAUACCUAGUCGUAGGUAGAUAUGACAGCUACUACGUUCCGUUCCUACAGCACUGCCGGGAACACACACACUUGAGCUUUAGCACGCCAUGGCUUAUUCAGCAAUUGAUCACUUUGGAUAAUCGUGGGGUUCAGUCCUCCAAAAAAAUAAGAUCAUCCAUUUCCAGGGUAUUCAAAAUGUUGCUGAAUCCGCACCACGUUGAGGAAGAAUGCUGCUCGAUUUCACGGCACAUGAGUCUGGUCCAUACAAAUUGAAUGUUGCCAGCAGCAUAACACGUAAGAAAACGUAAGUGAGGAUGGAAUGUAAGGGACAUUGUUGAGGGGAAAAAGGACAUUGUGGCGAGGAAAAAUCCCAGAGAAAAUCCCAAAAAAGUCCCACCAAA
rnacentral:misc_RNA from 1 species